rnacentral:rRNA from 1 species
AUUGAACGCUGGCGGCAGGCUUAACACAUGCAAGUCGAGCGGGGUGAUGGUGCUUGCACUAUCACUUAGCGGCGGGCGGGUGAGUAAUGCUUAGGAAUCUGCCUAUUAGUGGGGGACAACAUCUCGAAAGGGAUGCUAAUACCGCAUACGUCCUACGGGAGAAAGCAGGGGAUCACUUUUGACCUUGCGCUAAUAGAUGAGCCUAGGGCGGUUUAGCUAGUUGGUGGGGUAAAGGCCUACCAAGGCGACGAUCUGUAGCGGGUUUGGGAGGAUGAUCCGCCACACUGGGACUGAGACACGGCCCAGACUCCUACGGGAGGCAGCAGUGGGGAAUAUUGGACAAUGGGGGGAACCCUGAUCCAGCCAUGCCGCGUGUGUGAAGCAGGCCUUAUGGUUGUAAAGCACUUUAAGCGAGGAGGAGGCUCUUUUGGUUAAUACCCAAGAUGAGUGGACGUUACUCGCAGAAUAAGCACCGGCUAACUCUGUGCCAGCCGCCGCAGUAA